rnacentral:misc_RNA from 1 species
GAAAUGCGAUAAUUAAUGUGAAUUGCAGAAUUCAGUGAAUCAUCGAGUCUUUGAACGCACAUUGCGCCCCCUGGUAUUCCGGGGGGCAUGCCUGUCCGAGCGUCAUUGCUGCCCUCAAGCACGGCUUGUGUGUUGGGCUUCCGUCCCUGCAACGGGGACGGGCCCAAAAGGCAGUGGCGGCACCAUGUCUGGUCCUCGAGCGUAUGGGGCUUUGUCACCCGCUCCCGUAGGUCCAGCUGGCAGCUAGCCUCGCAACCAAUCUUUUUAACCAGGUUGACCUCGGAUCAGGUAGGGAUACCCGCUGAACUUAAGC